AUUGAACGCUGGCGGCAGGCCUAACACAUGCAAGUCGAGCGGAGCGGCGGACGGGUGCGUAAGGCCUAGGUAUGUGCAUGGUCGUGGGGGAUAACGUCCGGUAAUGGGAGCUAAUACCGAAAACUAUCAGACGAGCCUAGGUCGGAUUAGCUAGUUGGUGGGGUAAAGGCCUACCUAGGCGACGAUCCGUAGCUGGUCUGAGAGGAUGAUCAGUCACACUGGAACUGAGACACGGUCCAGACUCCUAUGGGAGGCAGCAGUGGGGAAUAUUGGACAAUGGGCGAAAGCCUGAUCCAGCCAUGCCGCGUGUGUGAAGAAGGUCUUCGGGUUGUAAAGCACUUUAAGUUGGGAGGCGUUACCAACAGAAUAAGCACCGGCUAACUUCGUGCCAGCAGCCGCGGUAAUAC
rnacentral:rRNA from 1 species